rnacentral:rRNA from 1 species
GUGGUUAAUUCCGAAGCUACGCGAAGAACCUUACCAGGUCNUGACAUACUAUGNAAAUCUAAGAGAUUAGACGUUCCNUUNGGGGACAUNGAUACAGGUGGUGCAUGGUUGUCGUCAGCUCGUGUCGUGAGAUGUUGGGUUAAGUCCCGCAACGAGCGCAACCCUUAUUAUCAGUUGCCAGCAUUAAGUUGGGCACUCUGGUGAGACUGCCGGUGACAAACCGGAGGAAGGUGGGGAUGACNUCAAAUCAUCAUGCCCCUUAUGACCUNGGCUACACACGUGCUACAAUGGAUGGUACAACGAGUUGCGAACUCGCGAGAGUAAGCUAAUCUCUUAAAGCCAUUCUCAGUUCGGAUUGUAGGCUGCAACUCGCCUACAUGAAGUCGGAAUCGCUAGAAUCGCGAUCAGCA